GAGAGGCCCUGGGGAGCCCUGGCUGCUGCUGAGUCUCAGAGGCAGAGCUCAGGGCGCCUCCACCAUGGCCUGGACCCCUCUCCUGCUCCCCCUCCUCUCUCUCUGCACAGGCUCCGUGGCCUCCUAUGAGCUGACCCAGCCGUCUUCAGAGUCAGUGGCCUUGGGUAUACGGCCAAGAUCACCUGCUCCGGGGAUCUGCUGGAUGAAAAAUAUACGCAAUGGUACCAGCAGAAGCCAGGCCAGGCCCCCCUGCUGGUCAUUUAUAAGGACAGUGAGCGGCCCUCAGGGAUCCCUGAGCGGUUCUCUGGGUCCAGCUCAGGGAAAACGGCCACCCUGACCAUCACUGGGGCCCAGGCUGAGGACGAGGCCGACUACUACUGUCAGUCAGCUGACAGCAGUGGUAAUGCUCACAGUGACACAGCCAGAUGGGGAAGGGGGACACAAACCCCUCCCCGGCUGGGUCCCCCUCCUCCAGCCCCAGGAAGACUGCGGACAAAGCAGAGAGGAAACCCUGCACAAGCCCCUGAGUCCUUGUGUCUUCGAGUAAAAGCCUUUGCCUCUAGCCUCGCAGCCUCCCCUCCAUCUCAAAGGCUGACUCCAGAGUGAAUGCAUGCAGAACAGA